UUUUGUUAUUGUUUUGAUUGAGAGACCCCUAGUGGCUGAAAUUACAUAUUGUGCGUUUAAUUCAUACAUGUAUACUUUCAAGGCCAGCUGUAGAGAAUAUUUGUUUGAUGCCCAGUUAGUUGCAGAAAGGUGGACAAAGACAUACUUCCUCAAAAGUUACAAGAUGUAAAAGUAAUGUGUCUUGUGUAUCAAAGUUAGUAAUUGCCUGCUAAAAAGGUGUCAAGUCUACUGAAAAGUUGUUUGUAAUGCAUAUUCCGACACUUUGUAUCUCUUCUCAACAAGUGAUCAGUUUGACCAGCGGCUGCAAGCUCCAAGGGACUUAGAAGAAAAGUGGUACUGUACUGACUGUUCAACAAGUAUUGGCCACAGUGAGGUUGCUCUGGCUGCCAAGGAUGCAAGUCUCAACAUUUCUAGUCUGUCCACCACUCUACAAACACUAUCAACUGGACAUGUCAUUCCCAACAGAACACCAGCUGAAGGGUGAAAAGUAUGUAUUGUCAGUGGUCUUGGGCUUGCUGAUUGGAGUAGAUUGUGCUGACAAAGUACUCUCAACCAAGAAAAAGGUCAAGAAGGGGAAUUUAUUACCUGUUGCUCAAGUCCCCAUAAAGUUGAUCGAUGAAAACAUUCCAGUCGAAGCCCUUGUAAGGAGAUGUUUUUACAGACACUAGCUGGCAACAGCAACAGAGACCUUGUUUAAAACACUGAGGCAACAAGGACAGUAUACUGUAAGUGUGAGGUCUGUAACAUUUCAGACAUAGAGAAGAGAAGGUCAAUACUGUGAGACGGCUGGUACCAUUUUUCCUUUGCAGGAAUUGUUGAAGUGCCUUCAUACCGCUUUUGUUUCUGCACAUCAUGCUACAACUAGUCAGACUUUGUGGUGGUACAGUAUAUUGAUUGCUAAAUGCAAUAGUGGUUGGCAACGGAUUAAUAUUUCAAUAUCCCAUUUCUUUGUAUUAGGGGUGUGCCCGAAUACAAAUACAUUAUUCGGCAAAGCACAAAUAGUGGGUUUUAUAC